rnacentral:rRNA from 1 species
GAUGAACGCUAGCGGGAGGCCUAACACAUGCAAGCCGAGCGGGAUUUGUUGGUUAGCUUGCUAACUAACAAUGGGAGCGGCGUACGGGUGCGUAGCACGUGUGCAACCUGCCUUUAUCUGGGGGAUAGCCUUUCGAAAGGAAGAUUAAUACCCCAUAACAUAUUGAUUGGCAUCAGUUAAUAUUGAAAGCUCCGGCGGAUAGAGAUGGGCACGCGUAAGAUUAGCUAGUUGGUGAGGUAACGGCUCACCAAGGCUGCGAUCUUUAGGGGGCCUGAGAGGGUGAUCCCCCACACUGGUACUGAGGCACGGACCAGACUCCUACGGGAGGCAGCAGUGAGGAAUAUUGGACAAUGGGUGAGAGCCUGAUCCAGCCAUCCCGCGUGAAGGACUAAGGACCUAUGGUUUGUAAACUUCUUUUAUACAGGGAUAAACCUACUCUCGUGAGGGUAGCUGAAGGUACUGGAUGAAUAAGCACCGGCUAACUCCGUG